CUCAAUAAUCACGUAUUUGUGUUCUCUCAUUGUUCAUUUCUCUCAGUGGUCGCGUAUAAGUUUUCUUUGUUCUCUCAGUGUUAAGUUCUCUCAGUGAUCGCGUAUAAUUUCUCUAAGUUCUCUCAGUGUUUAGUUCUCUCAAUGAUCGCGUCUUAAGUUCUCUCUGUUAUCGAGUAUAAGUAAGCUAAGUUCUCUCAGUGUUAAGUUCUGUCAUUGACCGCGUGUUAAUUUGUCUCUGUGAUCGCGUGUUAAGUUCUAACUAAGUUUUAACCUAAUUUCUCUCAAUAAUCGCAUAUAAGUUCAUUAUGUUGUCUCAUUGUUCAGUUCUCUCAGUGGUCACUUAUAAGUUUUCUUUGUUCUCUCAGUGUUAAGUUCUCUCAGUGAUCGCGUAUAAGUUCUCUAAGUUCUCUCAGUGUUUAAUUCUCUCAAUGAUCGCAUCUUAAGUUUUCUCAGUUAUCGCGUAUAAGUAAGUUAAGUUCUCUCAGUGUUAGGUUUUUCAUUGACCGCAUGUUAAUUUGUCUCUGUGAUCGCGUGUUAAAUUCUAACUAAGUUGUAACCUAAUUUCUCUUAAUAAUCGCGUAUAAGUUCAUUAUGUUCCCUCAUUGUUCAGUUCUCUCAGUGGUCACGUAUAAGUUUUCUUUGUUCUCUUAGUGUUUAAUUCUCUCAGUGAUCGCGUAUAAGUUCUCUAAGUUCUCUCAGUGUUUUGUUCUCACAAUCAUCGCGUCCUAAGUUCUCUCAGUUAUCGCGUAUAAGUAAGCUAAGUUCUCUCAGUGUUAAAUUCUCUCAUUGACUGCGUGUUAAUUUGUCUCUGUGAUCGCGUGUUAAGUUCUAACUAAGUUGUAACCUAAUUUCUCUCAAUAAUCGCCUAUAAGUUCAUUAUGUUCUCUCAUUGUUCAGUUCUCUCAGUGGUCGCGUUUCAGUUUUCUUUGUUUUGUCAUUGUUAAGUUCUCUCAAUGAUCGCGUAUAAGUUCUCUAAGUUCUCUAAGUGUUUAGUUCUCUCAAUGAUCGAGUCUUAAGUUCUCUCAGUUAUCGCGUAUAAGUAAGUUAAGUUCUCUCAGUGUUAGGUUUUUCAUUGACCGCGUGUUAAUUUGUCUCUGUGAUCGCGUGUUAAAUUCUAACUAAGUUGUAACCUAAUUUCUCUUGAUAAUCGCGUAUAAGUUCAUUAUGUUCCCUCAUUGUUCAGUUCUCUCAGUGGUCGCGUAUAAGUUUUUUUUGUUCUCUCAGUGUUAAGUUCUCUCAGUGAUCGCGUAUAAGUUCUCUAAGUUUUCUCAGUGUUUAGUUCUCUUAAUGAUCGCGUCUUAAGUUCUCUCAGUUAUCGCGUAUAAGUAAGCUAAGUUCUCUCAGUGUUAGGUUUUUCAUUGACCGCGUGUUAAUUUUUCUUUGUGAUCGUGUGUUAAGUUCUAACUAAGUUGUAACCUAAUUUCUCUCAAUAAUUGCGUAUAACUUCAUUAUGUUUUCUCAUUGUUCAGUUCUCUCAGUGGUCGCGUUUAAGUUUUCUUUGUUCUCUCAGCGUUAAGUUCUCUCAAUGAUCGCGUAUAAGUUUUCUAAGUUCUCUCAGUGUUUAGUUCUCUCAAUGAUCGCGUCUUAAGUUCUCUCAGUUAUCGCGUAUAAGUAAGUUAAGUUCUCUCAGUGUUAGGUUUUUCAUUGACCGCUUGUUAAUUUUUCUUUGUGAUCGCGUGUUAAGUUCUAACUAAGUUGUAACCUAAUUUCUCUCAAUAAUCGCGUAUAAGUUCAUUAUGUUCUCUCAUUGUUCAGUUCUCUCAGUGGUCGCGUAUAAGUUUUCUUUGUU